UUAUUAUUAUUUUUCUUUUCUUCUUUAUUCUAUUGAUUUCUCACGCGAAAAGAAUGUUUCAAUCCUUGCACGCGUUUCCCUCGAAUCUCUUAUAUCGGACGUAUGAAGAGUAAUUUGCUAGGAGCUCGGUCGCCAAGUCUCUUCUCUGUCAAGAAAAUGUCCGCUCUGGGGAAGAGCGUUUUUUUUUUCCUUUUUCCGUUCGCGGUACGCGAGGUUGACUCGUUUCAAGUAGUAUAGUAGCGUUUUAGAUCCACUGGAGAGACGUUAUUCACCGCUCGUUAUUCGA